CUUUGGGAGCUUGCUCCCAAAAGUUAGCGGCGGACGGGUGAGUAACACGUGGGCAACCUGCCUAUAAGACUGGGAUAACUUCGGGAAACCGGAGCUAAUACCGGAUAAUUCUUUUCUACACAUGUAGGAAAGCUAAAAGACGGUUUACGCUGUCACUUAUAGAUGGGCCCGCGGCGCAUUAGCUAGUUGGUGAGGUAACGGCUCACCAAGGCCACGAUGCGUAGCCGACCUGAGAGGGUGAUCGGCCACACUGGGACUGAGACACGGCCCAGACUCCUACGGGAGGCAGCAGUAGGGAAUCUUCCGCAAUGGACGAAAGUCUGACGGAGCAACGCCGCGUGAGUGAUGAAGGUUUUCGGA
rnacentral:rRNA from 1 species